rnacentral:misc_RNA from 1 species
GUGAGUCAUCGAAUCUUUGAACGCACAUUGCGCCCCGCGGUAUUCCACGGGGCAUGCCUGUUCGAGCGUCAUUUCAACCCUCAAGCCCGGCUUGGUGUUGGGUGCGGCCUGCGCGGCCGGCCCUAAAGACAGUGGCGGCGCCGCCCGGCCCUGAGCGCAGUACGGCUCUCGCUCCAGGGUCCCGCGGUGGCCUGCCAGAACCCCCUAACUCUGUGGUUGACCUCGGAUCAGGUAGGGAUACCCGCUGAACUUAAGCAUAUCAAUAAGCGGAGGA